ncrna:unclassified sequences Transposase-1 RNA
CAGGAGCCGGUCAAUGUCAUUACCCCUGAAUUGGGAUAUGAGAAUACCGGUGCAGA